rnacentral:rRNA from 1 species
CCUACGGGUGGCAGCAGUGGGGAAUAUUGCACAAUGGGCGAAACCCUGAUGCAGCCACGCCGCGUGAGUGAGGAAGUAUUUCGGUAUGUAAAGCUCUAUCAGCAGGGAAUAGAAAAGAAGGUACCUGAAAAAGAAGCCUCGGCUAACUACGUGCCAGCAGCCGCGGUAAUACGCAGGGUGCAAGCGUUAUCCGGAUUUACUGGGUGUAAAGGGAGCGUAGACGGGAAGGCAAGUCAGAAGUGAAAGCCCAAGGCUCAACCCUGGGACUGCUUUUGAAACUGGCAAACUAGAGUACAGGAGAGGUAGGAGGAAUUCCUGGUGUAGCGGUGAAAUGCGUAGAUAUUAGGAGGAACACCGGUGGCGAAGGCGUCUUACUGGACCGAGACUGACGUUGAGGCUCGAAAGCGUGGGGAGCAAACAGGAUUAGAUACCCGUGUAGUC